CAAUUAUGGUGAGGAUGACUGUGGCCAGUGACGAAGUCCAGCGCUAUGUGUGACCAGGGACAGCCGGGUGUGGGCAGAGGAUGGAGCAGAUCAGAAGAGGGUGGGCCACCAGAAGCACUGGCAGAGGAAGAUGCAGCAACCUCAGAUGCAGAGGUAGCAAGAGAAGGGGUGGAAAUUGUAUAAUUUGCACAUGUUGGAGCACAUGUGGCCAAAGCAAUGUGUCUGGGAGCAGGAAAGCGCAACAGGAGAACUUCCCAAACUUAACACUUGGUGUGCCCUUGUCCCCUGAGCACACACCAUCCCAGUGGUCUAGUCUUCAGGAGGAAGAUCCAACCUUGAGGUGAUUGUCCUUGUAUCUGCAAAGGGGCCAAUGGCCCAACAAGCACGAGAGUUGGCAGGAGUCUAAACGUGUUCUAUAUAUUCUGCAACACUGUGCCGUACACUACGGGAUCCCAAGGAAGUCUACCCAGUGAUUAAAUUUCUAGAGCUGGAGCUUGGGAGCCAGAGCAAUAUUCUCUGGAGACAGAAAAACACACGAUGGGUAGAAGGAUCACCGGAGUGGAAGUACACGCUGGCGUAGGAACGGGAAGGAAACCAACAGGCAUUGACAUCGAGGGAAGAAGACCAGACAACUGGCUGAGCUCUGGGACGAUGGAGAAAUUGCACACAGGAGGCGGGUCUGUGUAGUAGUUUAGCCAAUUGCUGAUUAAAGAUAUGAACGUAUAACAUACAAUUUAUCCAAUCAGCAUCCUCAAAUCUAAUCCAAACAGGGCGCCCCAAGCGAGCCACUGCUAAAGUCAGGACUAGUCUCUACAGGCGCCCUUUUAACUACAUGACAAUGGCAAGAGUGUUCACUACUCCUCCAAGACCCAAUCCUAACUCUCUCCUCCAAGAUCCGCUUGAGAGAAGAACUUUGGUGGAGAAACUACAGGCGAAAGAGCUGGGCCCAGAUCAACCUGACCUCACAGUCAGACAGCAGGCUAGCGAGAAAGGAUAGCAGUGUAUGCAAGGCUUCUCUCAUAGCCGGUACACCAGAAUGGCCUGGAUAGCUGGUAGCAGUCAUGCUAAUGCCUUAUUUUGCUUUUUGCGUUUGAGUGAAGGAUAUGAAGUACCUGUCUUGAUAACUAUGGACUGACUCAGCACAAUAAGCACAAUAAGGGACACACUCUGGACUUCAUUUCCAAGGGUCUGAACAUUUCUAAGGUUGGGAUGACUGAUGUUGCUCUCUCUGAUCAUUCAUGUGUUUUCUUUGAGUUUGCUAUCUCUGUGAACAUAAAUGUUCAAACAGAUGUAAUCACAAAACGGUACAUCACUGAAAACACCGGUAAAAUAUUUAUUCAGGGUUUCUCUUCCACAUGUUCUUGGGUCUUAGUCAAUGAACGAAAUAAUUUCAAUUCUAAAAUUACAAAUGUUAUUGAUGCCAUUCCACCCACUACGGUGAGGGCUGUCUCUGGUAACAAAAGGUCUCCAUGGAGAAAUGUCAGGCUAGUAAGAAUAGAGAGACAAAAGCCUGCCGUAAAGCUGAAUGCAGGUGGUGAAAAACAAAUCUCCAGGUUCAUUAUGACAUCUAUAAAGAGAGACUUCACAUUUAUAAUUUAGAACUGAGAAAUGCAAGGUGGUUCUUCGUCUCUGACAUCAUCGCCAAAAACAAUAUUAAUGCACGUGCCUUGUUUGCUACUGUUGACAGGCUAACAAACCCUCCUCUGUCAGUAGUCUUUGAACUUCUAUCCACCAGGGCCUGCAAUGAAUUUGCCUCCUUCUUCACUGACAAAAAAUCAGAAAAUUAGACAGGCAGUCAGUGCCUCCAUAUCAGGUACACGAUUUGUGUUGUCCCUGUGUCCACUAAAAUCAAUUCAAAUAGCAUGACACAAUUGGAUCCUAUUAACCAUAAAAUCUUGGAGGACAUUAUACAACAUCUGAAAUCCUCCUCCUGCUGCCUUGUUAUUCUGCCAACAGGCUUUCAAAAAUGUUUCUAAUUGCUUGGCGUCAGAUCUUUUUACAAAUUAUCAAUAUGUCUCUUCUCUCAGGUGUCUUCCCACAGGCCCUGAAAACUGCAGUCAUCAAGCCACUCUUAAAAAAGAACAAUCUAGUCACUAAUAGGCCCAUAUCAAAUCUCUCAUUUUUAAGUAAAAUCAUUGAAAAAGCUGUUUUUCAACAGCUGAACAACUUCUUGGCAACAGCUCGAGCACACCACAGGACUGAGACUCCUCUAAAGUUUUGAAUGACAUCCACUUAAACACAGACAGCGGCAGAAUUUCAGUUUUGGUAUUACUGGAUCUCAGUGCUGCAUUUGACACAGUCGACCACAACAUUUUAUUAGAUCAACUGGAAGACUGGGUGGGACUUUCUGGCACAGUGUUAAACUGAUUUGAAUCCUACUUAAAGGACAGGGACUACUUUGUGUCUAUAGGUAAUACAUCAUAGUGGACAAAAAUUGCAUGUGGCGUUCCCCAAGGCUCCAUUCUAGGGCCUCUUCUGUUUAACAUCUACAUGUUCCCACUGGCUCAGAUUGUGGAAAAGAAUAAAAUAAAUGAUCAUAAUUAUGCAGACGACAGACAGAUUUACAUAACAAUGUCACUAGGGGACUAUAGUCCUAUACAAGCAUUGAGUAAGUGCAUUGAACAAAUCAACAAUUGGAUGUGCCAGAAUUUUCUUGAAUUAAACAAAGAUAAAACUGAAGUCAUUGUUUUU